rnacentral:rRNA from 1 species
UGGGGAAUAUUGCGCAAUGGGGGGAAACCCUGACGCAGCAACGCCGCGUGAAGGAUGAAGGCCUUCGGGUUGUAAACUUCUUUGAUGAGGGAAGAAUAAUGACGGUACCUCAAAAACAAGCCACGGCUAACUACGUGCCAGCAGCCGCGGUAAUACGUAGGUGGCGAGCGUUGUCCGGAAUUACUGGGUGUAAAGGGCGUGUAGGCGGGGAUGUAAGUCAGAUGUGAAAUUCCGAAGCUCAACUUCGGCGCUGCAUCUGAAACUAUAUCUCUUGAGUGCUGGAGAGGAAAGCGGUAUUCCUAGUGUAGCGGUGAAAUGCGUAGAUAUUAGGAGGAACACCAGUGGCGAAGGCGGCUUUCUGGACAGUAACUGACGCUGAGGCGCGAAAGCGUGGGGAGCAAACAGGAUUAGAUACCCUGGUAGUCCACGCCGUAAACGAUGGAUACUAGGUGUAGGAGGUAUCGACCCUUCUGUGCCGGAGUUAACACAAUAAGUAU